UUCUGUUUUUAAUAAUAAAAC
rnacentral:piRNA from 1 species